ACAAGUUUGGAUCUACGUAAACAAUGCCGAUGGCAAUGUACGUUAGGCCCAAACGGGAGUCAGAUAAGUUAUCAAAGCAGGUGUUAGCAAUUAUCUGUGCUUUGUUUUAACAUAUCGGAGUUUGAAGUCAAUAUGUGCAAUGGCUUCCACCAGGAAGAUAUCUUUAUCAGGACCAUGUAACUAUCAAGAAAUCUGAGAGUGUUUGAAGAAACCGUGCAACCGCAGAUUCCUCCAACAAGCGGAGAGGGGCCACUUAUUAAGGAGGGACUGUGUUAUGUCAAAGAUAUAGAUACGGAGGACGGGAACAAGAACUAAAAAGAAAAGGAGAAAAGAGGCUGAGAGAGACGUUGACAGAUUGAAAUGCUUGAAAUUUGAAAUGGAUUAAUUAAAAAAAGUAUAACUUUAAA